rnacentral:rRNA from 1 species
AAUGAACGCUGGCGGCGCGCCUAAUACAUGCAAGUCGAGCGAGAAGACGUAGCAAUACGUUUGUAAAGCGGCGAACGGGUGAGGAAUACAUGGGUAACCCUACCCUCGAGUGGGGAAUAACUAGCCGAAAGGUUAGCUAAUACCGCGUACGCUUCUUGGACUUCGGUUCAGGGAGGAAAGCGAUGCCGAGGGUAUCGCGCUCUUGGAUGGGCUCAU